rnacentral:rRNA from 1 species
GUGGGGAAUUUUGGACAAUGGGCGCAAGCCUGAUCCAGCCAUGCCGCGUGAGUGAAGAAGGCCUUCGGGUUGUAAAGCUCUUUCGGCCGGGAAGAAAUCGGCGACUCUAACAUAGUCGCUGGAUGACGGUACCGGACUAAGAAGCACCGGCUAACUACGUGCCAGCAGCCGCGGUAAUACGUAGGGUGCGAGCGUUAAUCGGAAUUACUGGGCGUAAAGCGUGCGCAGGCGGUUUUGUAAGACAGAUGUGAAAUCCCCGGGCUUAACCUGGGAACUGCGUUUGUGACUGCAAGGCUAGAGUACGGCAGAGGGGGGUGGAAUUCCUGGUGUAGCAGUGAAAUGCGUAGAUAUCAGGAGGAACACCGAUGGCGAAGGCAGCCCCCUGGGCCUGUACUGACGCUCAUGCACGAAAGCGUGGGGAGCAAACAGGAUUAGAAACCCCAGUAGUCC